rnacentral:rRNA from 1 species
AUAAGCGGAGGAAAAGAAACCAACAGGGAUUGCCUUAGUAGCGGCGAGUGAAGCGGCAAAAGCUCAAAUUUGAAAUCUGGCGCCUUCGGUGUCCGAGUUGUAAUUUGAAGAUUGUAACCUUGGGGUUGGCUCUUGUCUAUGUUUCUUGGAACAGGACGUCACAGAGGGUGAGAAUCCCGUGCGAUGAGAUGCCCAAUUCUAUGUAAGGUGCUUUCGAAGAGUCGAGUUGUUUGGGAAUGCAGCUCUAAGUGGGUGGUAAAUUCCAUCUAAAGCUAAAUAUUGGCGAGAGACCGAUAGCGAACAAGUACAGUGAUGGAAAGAUGAAAAGAACUUUGAAAAGAGAGUGAAAAAGUACGUGAAAUUGUUGAAAGGGAAGGGUUUGAGAUCAGACUCGAUAUUUUGUGAGCCUUGCCUUCGUGGCGGGGUGACCCGCAGCUUAUCGGGCCAGCAUCGGUUUGGGCGGUAGGAUAAUGGCGUAGGAAUGUGACUUUACUUCGGUGAAGUGUUAUAGCCUGCGUUGAUGCUGCCUGCCUAGACCGAGGACUGCGAUUUUAUCAGGAUGCUGGCAUAAUGAUC